CGGCCAGGGCAAAGUGCUGAAAAACUCCCAGAAGUAGAAGAAACCAGGAAGAUUUUUUUUUAAAGUCUGAUAUAGGACAAUGUAAAGCCCUCCCUACCUUGGAAGGAGUAUAAAGCUGCACAUAGUUGAAGCUUGAAAUUGGCAAUGAUGGGAGUAUUUAUACCAUGGAAACUGUCAAAUGCCUUUUUUGAGCCGAUGAGAUACCACAGAAGUUUUUCUGAGACUUGGAUCAGAGUAGGGCCUUUUUCCUAUUGGAUGUGGACCCAAAAGGAUGUGACGCCUGGCACCCUGGCAGCCAUCCUGCCAAUGUGAGGAGUGACUUCCAGUGAGAAUGGAGCCAACAUAACAAAAGAUAGAAGGGAGAGAUAGAAAUAAACCAGUGCCUGAUAUCAUGGUGUGAGCCCUAUUUUCAGCAGUACCUCAUCCCACUUCUAGCCCUAGACUUUUUGAUUAAGUGAGCCAAUAAAUUCUUUUUGUAUUUAAACUGGUUUGGGUUGAAUUUUGUACCAUUGGUAACUGAAAGCAGCCUAAAGGAUGCAGUAGAAUUUGUAUGUGGCCCAGGAUCACUCCUAGCCACCAAAAAGAGUUGACUGAUAAAAGUAAUUUAGAAGGAUGGUAAUCCUGACCUCAAUCUUGUUCUGUUCUCGUAUUAUAAUUCUUUGUUUGACAAACAUAAUUGCCUUA